UACUCCCCACAUCUUCAAAGCUAUGGAACUGAAGGAUGUAAAGCUCACAGGGGUUCUGUGGCUAACAGCCCUCAACGGUCAACUCUCCAAAAAUUGCUUCAGCCAAAGAUAGAUCUUCGCCCCUAUAGCUCCUUCUUGGGCAGUCUGCAUCCAGGAACUGGUGAAAAGAGGACCAAAAGGUGGAACUGUUCUAGUUAUCUUUUUUGCUGCUGUGACUUAAAGCUCUGACAGGAACAAUUUUAGAGGAAGACAAGUGUAUUGGGGGCUAUAGUUUCAGAGGCCUCAGUUCAUUGUUAGCCGCCUCCAUUUUUCAGGACUGGAGCUACAGAUGAAGUAGAAGCAAAGGUUCAAAUCACAUUGAAGGGAGGAGAUGACAAAACACCAGGCACAUAUUGCUGAUUCGCACCAAGUAGAAGAAGCUUUAUUCCGGCAAUAAAGUAAGAAGGAAACCCAUUAUUCUUCCUUCUCAAUGUACAUAUCAUGCUGUGCAGCAUCUGCCCCAAGGCGUAUGGCAAGGGUGAAAUGAUUGCAAACAUUAAGAUCUUGCUCAGAAAGAUCUAUCUUUUAGUUCACUGAGAAACAAACAACCUUAGAAGUGAGUGUUUUACUUUAAUAACUAAAAUAAAAUCCCUUAUACCAGCUAUUGA